AAGUUUUGUGAGCAAAGGUUUAUAGCUCAAGUUUUGUGAGCAAAGGGUGUGUAUUGUAGUCAUGGCUAAAACUCUCCUUGUUUCACCUUCCUACUUCAUCUUCUUCAUCUUUCUCAUUUUUUCUUCUACCACAACUCCAAUUUUUGGAGAAGAAUAUAGCUAUGUUAAAAGUGUCAAUCCUAAAAAAAUGAAGAUACCGAGAGAAAAGGUAAGUCAUUUUAAACUUUAUUGGCAGGAUGAUGUUAGCGGGUCUAAUGCAACUUCCGUCACAGUGAUUGAAGCACUGAAUAACUCGUCACCAUAUUUUGGUAUGGUAAAUAUAAUUGAUAACUCGUUAACCGUUGGGCCAAAUAUGAGCUCAAAAACGGUUGGAAAGGCCCAAGGGCUUUACGCAUCUACGGGACAAGAAGAUGCUUCAUUAUUGAUGGUUAUGAAUUUUGCAUUCACUGAUGGCAAGUACAAUGGUAGCACAUUCACUGUGUUAGGACGAAACAAUGUAAAUGCUGAGGUAAGGGAGAUGCCAAUAAUCGGUGGCAGUGGGCUUUUCCGAUUUGCUAGAGGCUAUGCUCUAGCAUCAACUUACUCGUUCUACGACAACGGAGACGCCACUAUUGAAUACAAUUGUUAUGUCAUACAUUAUUGAUUUUUUUUAUUUUUUUAUUUUUUAUUUUUGUGGAGUUUUGAUCCACAAUAGUGAUAUACUUGAAUAAUUGUGUAUUCCCACCAUAGCUAAGUGGGAUUCUCUAGUUUUGUUUAAUUUGAAUAAAUUAGGUGGCUCUUACUUCACCUAAUUGAAUGUAAGCAUACUUUAAUAAAAUAAAAUAAAAUGAUUAUUUGUGUGGAUCAAUUACUUUCUUGAAAUUUGUUAAAUCAUACUUUAUUCUUAAAAAAAAAGUUGGAGAAAAGUAGAUUUAAAAGUUUAUAUCAAGAAAGUUGAAGUGUAUCACUUUUCUAUUCAACUUAUCUUAGCUUUGUAUAAUAAAAAUGACAUAAUUAUUUGAUUUCACAUGACCCAAAUUAUCUUAACCAAACUAAAAUAUAUUCAACUUUCACUAAUUUUUAGUCAUAUAUAAUGAUAAUGAAGUUAGAAAAAGCUCAAAAAUUUAUGGAGCAUUCCCAUUUACAAAAAUGCUUUUAAGAAAUGUUUUGAUGAAAAUUAUAAUCGUCGCAACUAUCCCACAAAAGAUGGAGGGCAAUCCUCCAACCCCCUUUCUCGUGAUAAUUAAAGUAUAAAAGAUUAUCCAUUUUGAUAAUAUGAUAUUUUUAUGUAAUGUCUGUAAAUGUGUAAUCAUACUAAUGAUAACAAGAAUUAAUGAUUAUUUGGUAUAUGUAGGUAUCACCACACGAUGGAGUCGAGACCCUUGGAUCCGACAGUUCUACAUGGACAGGCUACACACAGGUCAUCUCUAGCAUGGACAGGUGUUGACUCUAAGAAGCUUCAUUAUCGACGUCGUGAGGCGAUCUUCCAUCGCACCAGUGUACUCGAUGGGCGUAUUAUUCCAUUGUUGCAGCAGGCAGGCUUCUAUGGUGUUGCACGCUUAGGAUUCAUUUCCUUAUAUUGGCAUCUUAUUACUGCAUUUGUCAAGAGAUGGCGACCUGAGACUCAUACACAUGUUUAGAUUAGAGACGUGUAUGUUAUUCUCUAUUAGAACUCACUCCUGGAGAUACAGAUAUAGAUGGGUAGCACCUUCAUCUUACAUGGUUGAGUUAGAGUUUCCCUACUUUGGCACUAGAUGCUGAUAAGGAGUCUAUUCAGCGUUAUACUAGAGCUUAUAUCUUACAACUCAUUGGAGGUUUUCUAUUUUCAGGAAAGUCUAACGAUAAGGUGCAUCUUAUGUUUUUACCCCUUCUAAAGGAUUUUGAGGUUGCUAGUAGGUAUAGUUGGGGUAGUGCCUGUUUAGCUUGGCUUUAUCGACAGUUGUGUCGAGCCUCUCAUAUUGAUACACAUGAUAUAUCUGGCCCACUGAUUUUGCUCCAGUUAUGGGUAUGGGAGAGGUUCCCAUUUAUUGCACCUCAUCGUUUACGUAUAGCUCCACAUGAUGACCAACUGCCUCCAUCUCUAUUGGCCAUUCGGUAUAUAUUAUAAAAUUACGACAAAUUUUACUAUUAUGAGGAUACACACAUAAACUUAAAUUCUAACAUUUUUUAUUUAUUUAACUAUGCUUUGUUAUUUUAAUUUUAUAGGUGGAGAGAUGAGUUUCGGACUACUUCGAUUAGCAUGCACGUCUUAGCUCAGUAUAGGCACCAUCUUGAUCGACUUAUAACAAAUCAGGUGAUAAAAGUGUAAUUCAUUUCUUAUACUUGUUUUUCUAAACAAAUUUUAAACCACUGAUUAUAUCUAACGUUUCUUGGGUACAGAUUAUAUGGCAGCCUUAUGUUGAUGACAUGAAUGUUGGUCUUCCUGAUUAUUGUACUGCUGGGAAAGAUAUAUGGUGCACUAUCUCACCUUUGAUAUGUUUCCACAUAAUUGAAUGGCAUAGACCUGAUCGAGUAUUGCGGCAAUUUGGAUUACGUCAAGGGAUUCCUCAGCCAUGUGAUAAUGAGUCAAUCUUACACAAAUGUGAUUUGAAAAGUAGACAUGAUGUUGAUUGGACUACUCGACAUGAAGACUACAUUCAACGUUAGAGCUCUAGGCAUGAGCAUAUUGCUAGAAGGGAGAUGGUUAUAGGUUCAUUGGGAUAUCAUGAUCCAUACAUGGUGUGGUAUCGCUCCAUUACUAUUCAGUUUCUUACUCGAACUGGGUCCUUCCACGAGCUAUUGGUAAUGUUCAUGUUUUGUUUUUUUAUUAAAGUUUAUUUUAUUUUUAUAAUAAUUUUAAUUUAACUCUUAUUUGACUUACAGACUUCUAGCAUACACCAAAUAUAUGAUAUUGCACCUCCAGAUGAUUUUCGCAUUCGUAAGCUAUGUACUACUGUAUUAAAGGCCAUACAUGAGAUGGAUCGCUUAGAUGCUUCAUUUAGUGUUGAUGCUACUAUACAGCUCCAGCCUCCAUUAGGAGAUGUACGACCUACACGACAAGGGCCUCAUACAAGGGAGAUUAGGCAUACACCAGUUGUUGCCCAAGUGCGACCAUUGAUUGACAUUAGUCCACCACCUCAUCAGCAGCCGACAUCAUCUAUUACUCGAUCAGGAGGUGAACGGACUAGAAGGGGAGAGCCUCAUAUGAGGAGUAGUCCACCACCUCAUCAGCAGCCGAUAUCAUCUAUUACUCGAUUAGGAGGUGUAUGGACUAGAGGAGGAGGGCCUCAUACAAGGAGUAGUCCAUCACCUCAUCACCAGCCGAUAUCAUCCAUUACUCAAUCAGGAGGUGUACAGACUAGAGGGCGAGAGGCUCAUACUAGAGGGACUAGGCAUACAUAUGUUCUUAGAGAUGCACCAUUGACUGACAUUAGCCUACCACCUGUUCAGGAGACUCCUAUUACACCUAUGAAGGUGUCAUCCACCCCACCUGUAGUACCACUUGUUGCAUCAUCACCACCAUCGAUAGAGGCUACAUUAGUUAAUGAAGAGUUAGUUCAUAUAGCAAAUGAUGAUCAGAAAGGACAAAAGACUGAUCGUAGUCGAAGACAUGGUCGAGGACGUGGUAGGAAAUGUGGUCGUCGAGCUCAUGGAGGGUUACAUGUUAGCCUCAUAGAGCUAAUAGUGGAGCAUGCACAUCCUAGAUGUCCACUACGGAAGAGGAAGACUCCUUCGUGAAGUACACAUUGAGAAUGUUACUAUAUAUGACUUGUAUUUUGGAUACUAUUAGUAUUUUGCAUAUCAUUAUUUUGGACAAAUACUCAAGAUGUAUGUUUUUACUUGUUAUAUUUUGGAUUAACUAACUUUUUAUUAACGUAAGUUCUAUAGUAUUCUAUCUAUUUUGGACUUAUUUUACACAAAAUAGUAUUGUUAUUAUUUUGGAAAGGUGCUGACUUAAUUGACAUUUGGUUUACUUGUUUUCAUUGGUUUUGGAUUGAAUGUCAAAAUAUUGAUUAUAAUGUAUACAGAUGAUAAACUUUAAACAUUUGGUUGUACAAUAGGUAAUAUUAAUUAAGAGAUAUAAUUUUUUUUUUUCUUUUGUGGAAGGUGUCUCUUCAAGAAACACUUUCAGCAUAAAUUCGAAAUUUUCUACUAUGUAUGAAAAUUGUGGAAAGUGUCUCUUGAAGAGAUACUUUCAGUAUAAACCGAUUUUUUUUUUAAAUUAUGGAAAUUGUGGAAAGAAACACUUUCAGUAUAAACCCAAUUUUUUUUUCAAAUUAUGGAAGAUGUCUCUUGAAGAGACACCUUUAGUAUAAUUCUAUCUUUUGGGAAUUGUAGAAUGUCCCUUUUCAAAAUUCGAAAUUUCGAAAUUUUCCACUGUGUAUGAAAAAUUGUAGAAAGUGUCUCUUGAAGAGACAAGAGACAUUUUUAGUAUAAACCCAAUUUUAAAAAAAUUAUGAAAGUCGUCUGAAUAUAAUUCCAAUUUUUUUUUUUGUAAUUAUGGAAAGUGUCUCUUGAAGAGACACCUUCAACAUAAAUUCGAAAUUUUCCAUUGUUUAAAUGAAAAUUGUGAAAAAUGUCUUUUGAAGAGACACUUCAAGUAUAAACCCAAUUUUUUUAAAAUUGUUGAAGGUGUCAAGAGACACCUUUCACAAUUCCUAAAAAAUGAAAUUAUAUUGAAGGUGUCUCUUCCAUUAUUUUAAAAAAAAUUGGGUUCAUAGAGAUUUUCCAUAAUUUUCAUACAUUGAAGAGAGACAUCUUUAUAAAUCAUUUCCACAAUUUUUAAUACAUAUUGGAUUUUGUGGAAUUGUGGAAAGUGUCCUUUCAAGAGAUACCUUUAGUAUAAAUCUAAUUUUUAGGAAUUGUAAAAGGUGUCUCUUGAAGAGACACCUUUAAUGCAUAUUAGAUUUUUUAUCACGUGGAAACUGUCUCUUCAAGAGACACCUUUAAUAUAAAUCCAAUUUUUUUGAAUUGUAGAAUGUGUCUUUUCAAGAGACACCUUUAGCUUAAAUUCAAUUCUUUUAAAUAUGUAUCAUGAUUUUGAAAAUUGUGAAAGGUGUCUUUUGAAAUAGACACCUUCCACUUUCACGUGGCCAAAACUGUAGUAUAUAUAUCAACAUUUUCUCAACUUCCAUUUUUUAAUAAUUAUUUUUUUAAAUUGCCGCAAAAGUUAAAAAAGCCCCAACUCUUUGCCACCCAAUUGGGAGACUGAAAUGCCUCUCUAUCCAUAGAAUCUAUAGUCUUGACCAGCUGAUUUUCCAAGGAAAGUGGUUGAAUCUUAAUGGGUGUUGAGACCCAUUAAUGUUGAGAGGAACUCAAAAUCCUAAUAAAAAUGCAUUUCAAUUAAUAAUGAGUUUUUAAUUUAUGUUCUCAUUUUUAAUAAUUAAUUCGCAUAAAAUAACAAAUUAAAAGUGAAAUAGAUUUUUUAAUUUCAUUUUUUGUUUCAAUGUUUCAAUAUCUCAAACAAGGAUUAUUCUCACAUAUUUGAAAGAUUUAUAAAACAAUUCUUUUCAAAAAAAUAUUCAAUUAUAAGGUGUUUGGUUAAUCAACUUAAUCAUUUAAUUUAAAUUAUUAAAUAAAUAAAAUAUAUUUAAUAAAAUAAUUUAAUAUUAAAAUUAUUUUUAACUUUUAAUAUUAAAUUAAAAUAAUUAACUUAUACUUAAUUUCAAAACUUUUUACCUCGUUUUUCAUAUUAAUAUAAAAUAAUUAACAUACCUACCUUGGCUCACAAGUUUAAAUGGUAAAAUGACAAUUUUAUCCAAUAGGAUGAAGGGUUUUGGCCCACCACAAUAAACCUUAGGGCCCACUUUGAUGGUGGACACUUAUGUUAGGUGGGCCAUCAACAGAAUUAUUAAUAUAUUAUAGCUAAGGUAAUUAAUGAUAUUUAUUCUCGUUGUUAUUAUUAUUAUUAUUAUUAAAAUUAAAUAAUUUUAAAUAUUAAUUAUGAAAAUAUAUCAAAUUAAACAACCAGUACUAAGAAUAUUUAAAAAAAAUAGAUUUUAUAUAUAUAUUAAAAAAAUUACCAAGAACAUUUAAAAGGAAAUUUCAAAAGAAAUAAAAACUAAAAAAAAAAAUCAUUAUAAAUUUUGAAUAAUUUUAAUUAUUUUAUCCCAAAAACCCAUAAAAGUUAUUUUAAAGAAUUCAAUCAUUUAUAUUAUAAAUUUUGAUAUUUUUCAUGGAAAAUGUGUGUUUUUAAAUCUCAAUUGUUUUAUAACAUAAUUUUAUUUAUUUAUAUCUUAAUCAUAUUCUUUAUAGUUAUAUCCAAAUACCUAAAUUUUUCUAUGUACUUAUAAAAAUAAGGAUUAAAAUUUUAAUAGAUGUCAAAAUCAAUAUUUUUAAAAUUUUUCUUUUUUCAAAUAAUUAAAUAUAUGAUAAUUGAAAGUAAAAUUAUUUACUUAAAACUUAUGUUUCAUAUAAUAAGUCAUUAUGAAAACAGUAUCAAUUUAAAAGUAUUAUUUUUUAUGAUUUAAUUAAGUAUAAUAAAAAAAAUAAGCAUAAAAAGGAAAAAGAUUGAAUAAACAAAAGGAAAUAAAUACUAAUAUCAAAUGAGAAUUUUUUUAAAUUUUAGUUCAAUUUUAAUAUUUUAUUAGUAAUUAAUGGUCAAUAUUGUUUUUUUGGUAAUAAUAUUUAGUUGUCAUUAUUUUGAAAAUUAAAUUCAUAUUUUUUUAGAGGGGGUAAAUUUUCUAUUUUGGUUUCUAUUUUCCUAAAAAAGUUUUGACAUAUAAGGGAAUUUGUUUGUUUCUAGAAAAUUCAGAGGGCCAGGUGCCCCCCUGAGCCUUACCUGGCACCGCCAGAGGCGGCAAGACUCAUUUUCUAGAAAAAGUUUUUAUAUGUUUUCCUUCUUUCCAUUCAAAAAAUGAGUGCUUUUACAAGUCGAUAAGACUUUGAAAUUACCCAAAACCACCAAGUGCCCAAGCCACCAAACCCAAUAAGCUGGAGGGCCAUUUUGGUCAUUCUCGUUAGAAAUUUUCUCCAUUGUGAUGCGUAUUUGAGCGGUUGGCAACUAUGACUUGGCCUUUGCCCGGUUGGAAGCUUCAUACUGACUUUGAAUUUGGAAAUGUCAAUUUUAUUGUAUGGAAAAGUCAUUCUUAUUGUAUGAAAAAUCAACCAAUCGAUACAUAUAUAUAGCCUAGGUUUUGUGAGCUAAGGUAUAUACCUCAAGUUUUGUGAGCAAAGGUUUAUAGCUCAAGUUUUGUGAGCAAAGGGUGUGUAUUGUAGUCAUGGCUAAAACUCUCCUUGUUUCGCCUUCCUACUUCAUCUUCUUCAUCUUUCUCAUUUUUUCUUCUACCACAACACCAAUUUUUGGAGAAGAAUAUAGUUAUGUCAAAAGUGUCGAUCCUAAAAAAAUGAAGAUACCAAGAGAAAAGGUAAGUCAUUUUAAACUUUAUUGGCAGGAUGAUGUUAGCGGGUCUAAUGCAACCUCAGUCACAGUGAUUGAAGCACUGAACAACUCGUCACCAUAUUUUGGUAU
rnacentral:lncRNA from 1 species